rnacentral:tRNA from 1 species
GGAGGCGGCAUGGCUGAAUGGUAGAGCACCUGUUUGGUAUUCAGAAAAUCCCAGGUUCAAUCCUUGGCAUCUCCA